CCUACGGGAGGCAGCAGUGGGGAAUAUUGCGCAAUGGGCGAAAGCCUGACGCAGCGACGCCGCGUGAGGGAUGAAGGUCUUCGGAUCGUAAACCUCUGUCAGCAGGGAAGAACGGUCACUGUGCUAAUCAGCAGUGAAUUGACGGUACCUGCAAAGGAAGCACCGGCUAACUCCGUGCCAGCAGCCGCGGGCAAACGGAGGGUGCGGGCGUUAAUCGGAAUUACUUGGCGUAAAGCGCUCGUGGGCCGUAUGUCAAGUCAAGGGUGAAAGCCCCGCGAGCAACGUGGGAACUGCCGUUGAAACUGGCAAACUGGAGUGUGUGAGAGGAUAGUGGAAUGCCAGGUGUAGGAGUGAAAU
rnacentral:rRNA from 1 species